UUCAGUGUCUUGUCUUAUCUUUGUAAGAAGCCUGUAGUAGAAAAAGAAGUGGGUCGUACCCUUUCGAACAUCUCUACUAUUCACAAAAAGGCUGACUUGAGUAAAACCAAAGACAAGCUGGUAGAUGUCGAAGAAAAACUUGUGGAGACCAACUUCGGUGAUGUAACACCUUUUAAAUUUCUCCAAACCAACACUUCCUCUGAGAGGGUAGAGGUAAGUAUGGAGACAGUUUACCACAGCCAUGAGGACACGGGGAAGAAAACCUCUGGAGAGAAGAAGAAAAGCAGAGAGAGGGGAAAGGGCAAAGGAAAUAAAGGACGUCAAAAACGACAAAGGAAACGUUUGGAAGAUCAAGACAACAUGGAAGACGAGGUUGAGGAAGCAUCAUCUGACGACGAGGAAUAUGAAUAUGAGGACGAGGUGCCCACGGAAGAGCCUUUUCCCUCUCGAGAGGAGAAGGGCGAAGGGGAGGAGCUAAAAUACUCCGCAACAACAGCUAUAUACACACAAGAAAAUGAGGGUGAAACAACUCCUCCGAUUACGCAGUCUUUAGAGGAGAUUACACUGAUGGUUUACACAACAACAGCGAGUCCCCUGCUUUCAUCAAAAUUCACAGAGCAGAAGCCGCCUGAAACCACGUUAUUAUCAGUGCUAAAUACAACACAAACUGGAGAAGAGGUAAACUUGUCCCACAAUAGCGGCCUGGAAGGGGCAAGAUGUAAAGUGAAGAGGAGUGCCCCUUCAUCUGAGCACAUGGCCUACAUGCCUGGAACACCAGGAGGACAAAACCUUUACAAACAAGGAUCUAAGCGGUCCACCUCAGGUGCACGAGGCAACAAGAAGCUAAAUGUGAGUGAGUUUAAUCUACGUAAAAAAAAAAAAAAAAAAAGAGGAAUUCAUAGCACUUAA
ensembl:lncRNA